ensembl:lncRNA
AUGCCUAUCCACGAGCUUAUUAAAGAAUUCAGGGCUACAAAAGGCUCUCAUUUCUACAGGAAGAAGAAUAAAGCUGUACAACCACAAGUACAGCCGCAGGUCACUGUCCAAGGUCCUGAAAGGUCCCCCCAUCCCAAGCCAAUCCCGGAGUGGGAGGCAGGCCCGUUGCUAAUGGAAGCUAGAUGUGAGGAUGUCAGGGAGCCUUUCUCCUUCAUCUCUAGUGACCAGCCCUGCAGCAACAGAGACAUCCAGGCUAUGGAUGCAGUGGCAGGAGCUUCUACUGACGGUGGCCAGAACGAGUGUGGCCUGCAGGUCUCUGCCACCACCAUCACACUGUCCCCAGGGCCCAUCCCAGCAGACAUUGCCCAGGGCCUGGCCCUGUACCGGCGCAAGAUUGACCUAGAGUCGUCCCCCCGGGACUCUCCUCCACUCGGGGCUUCCGCCAACAACUCCUGUGCGCGUGUCUGUUCGGCCCUCUUCGAGCGGGUCUCCUUCAGCGAGAUCAGCCAGGAGUUGGAUGCGGUGCUGAUCCGCACUGGCGUGCUCCCAUCAGAGUCCCUGAUCAUCGUGCAGACAGAGCAUGUACCCAAGAUGAUUGUGUUCCAGGCUCAUCCCCUAUUGGUUGAGAACGCAGCAGUGGCUCCGCCUCCGUGUGACGUCCCUGUCAGGUAUAAGUGCAGCUGUGCCUCAAUGGUGGGCGCCCUCGAAGACGUGGUGGCACCAUUGGAGAUGGCCGUUGCAUCUCAGCCUAGCUAUCCCAUCUGUGAGAGAGCAGGUCCCGUGGUGGCGAGACCAGCUGCUAUGGUCGCUGAGCCUGAGGAGUCUCCAGCCCUUGGAGACAAGGUUGUACCCCUUGAGGUCCACUCUGCACCAGUCAAACACCAGGAGAUGACACCCUCAAGGCCCUCCAUCCCAGUUGGAACACUGGAGCUCCCUGUUUCAGCCCCUGCUGUGUCUGACUCCCCUGCUGUGUCUGACUCCCUUGCUGUGUCUGACUCCCCUGCUGUGUCUGACUCCCCUGCUGUGUCUGACUCCCCUGCUGUGUCUGACUCCCCUGCUGUGUCUGACUCCCCUGCUGUGUCUGACUCCCCUGCUGUGUCUGACUCCCCUGCUGUGUCUGACUCCCCUGCUGUGUCUGACUCCCCUGCUGUGUCUGACUCCCCUGCUGUGUCUGACUCCCCUGCUGUGUCUGACUCCCCUGCUAUGUCUGACUCCCCUGCUGUGUCUGACUCCCCUGCUAUGGCUGUCCAAGACGCGCAGAUUAGUUUGACCGAUCGUCCUCUCUCAGUCAUCCUACACUCCCUCUCCGGUGCAACUUCACCAUUCGAGACAGCAGAGGAUGUGAUGCUGAUUCCUAUGGUAGUGUCCCCUCCUGAAUCAGUCAAAAGGGUGGUGAGAGAGUCCUCUGAUCUUCUGUGUCCUCUUCCUGCAGCGACAUUGGAGACUGAGUCUGUUAGUGUGAUUUGUCCCCCUCCUUCUCCAGUGACUGUGGAGAUCCAGUCUUCCAUUCUGGCUUCUCCCCUUACUGCUGCAACCGUGGAGACAGAAUCCUCCAAUCGGAUUUGUCCUUCUGUGGUCAGCGUGGAGACAGCUUAUCGGCCAAUUCAAUCUCCUUCUGCUGCAGAGACAGUGGAGGCCGAAUCUUCUGUUUUGACCUGCCCCCAUACUGCGGUGACCGACGACUUUGUGGCCCCUGUUUCUGUGUACCUUCCUGUUGUGGCACCAGAAGAGACCGGUGUCCCCAGUGUGCAGCUCCCAGCUCCCGCGCCUGCCUUGACAGAGGAAACUCAGUGCCAGUCUGCUUCACCAUGCCUGCCCACCCUCACGGCCGCAGGAGAGUCCAGAACCCCCUUCUUGGUCUACCUCCCACUGCCUGCUCCAGAGCUGGCUAAGACCCCUGGUCUGUUGUGCCAACUCGGCCUGGGACCAGAGGAAGCCAAGAGCUUCCCUUUCCUGUGUCUCCCUAUUUCUGACAUCCCCAGGACCCCAAGUCUUGUGACUGCCAGCCUGGCUCCAGCUCAGACUGCGGCUGUGGCUCCUGCUGCUGCUACGGAUUUACCAAGGACCAACCUCCCUGGAGUGACAGAUAUCCCCAGGACCCUGAGUUAUGUGGCGGCUGGAGCUCAGGAGCUACCACGGCUCCAGAGCUAUGCGGCUAACGCCGCUGAAGUCCAGGAGCCACCGAGGACCCCCAGCUAUCUGGCUAACACCCCUGGAGUUCAGGAAAUACCACACAACCCCAGCUAUCUGAAAAACUCAGCUGUCUUCCAAGAUAUGUGCUUUAUGUGCCCCUCUGUUACCGCCUCCAAUCUGUCCAGGAACAAUAGCUUUGUGCACUCUCCGGCUGCCAUGGCUCCACAGCAGCUGAUUAGGGGCCCGUGUAUGAUGUCUCUGUACCCCCAGGGAGGGCCUGUGAUGGGCCACUGUACCCACUCCCCAGGACAGUGUCCUGCGUCUCUGCAGCAGCAGGCUGGCAUGGCUCCGCUCAACCACGGACAGCAGACCAACACCAACUUCAUGCCCAUUUGUUCUCAAGGGCCAAGCCUGUGUAGCUGCCUCGGCAGAACUGGCAGCCACUGGCGCCUCUGUCACCUGACGCGACCCGAGUCCCAGGGCAGGGUGGGCGGCAUGAUCUGCCCCUACCAGAACUCCCAGACCAUGAUGCACUGCAACAGCCUGGAUCACAUGGCCAACAUCCCCAUGUACCAGGACUGUGGCCACUACUCUAGCAGCUGCCACCUGCUGCCACCGUGCUCCCAGUCGUCCCACGGCAGCCUGCACACCCACCACGUGGCCGAGCCCCGUUGCUCUGCUCACAACCUGGGCACCUCCUUCGUCCAACCCCAGAACUGCUCCUCCGACCCCCUCUUCCACUACCCCCAGCAGUACCACCUGGUGGCCACCCCCUCCCAGGAGAGGCAGCAGGCCCUGUGCCCUCUCCAGUGCCCACUGCUGCAGCAGCGCCACAGCUCCCUGCUCUUCUGUGGGCACCAGGGGGAGCUGAGCAGGCUGGGCUCCUCCAGCUGUGUCCCUGCCACCAACCAGAGACAGAACCAGGGAGGGGUGGAGCAGAAGAACAACAACCCCAGCUGCGUAUCGCUUCAUAACAAAAGAUUAGACACGAGCGCAAACAACAAUCAAGGCUGCGUCAUGAAUUGCAAUCCCCAGGGCAACUAAUCCUGUCUUCACAUGAGAAGGGCCUUAUUUUUGCAGUUGCCAAUGUCUCUUUUGCAUUCUUUUAAACUGAUAAUGAGGAAUAAAUAUACUUACAUUGCAUGAAUUUCGAUAGUGCACAAACCCUCAAUCAAUCACUACAAAAACAUACAACUUAAGGUAAUUGCAGCUAUGUAAAGGCAGUAGAUGGAGGGUAAACUUCCACAUUGAUACAAAAGUUUGACAAAGAUUCGGUAUUGGGCUGUUGUUUAAAGCUAGAAUCCUUAGUCGCUACAUACAUUUUUGAACUAUAACUUAUAAAUCCCUCUUGAGCUUAGUUCAACUGUCGUACCCCAUCAGAAACCAAAAUAUAAGCUUGUUUUACUCCAAUGUUUGUAUUCAAUGUAAACAAACACUUCAUACCCUCCAAACAUGGUUCAAACUAUAAUUUUGAUAUCACUGAUGGUCAGUCCUUAUGUCAAUGGCUCUGUCUAUGAAUUUGAGAGAGGCAUGGAGAAAUGUAACCAAUCGCUCAACUUUUUACCAAAACAGUGGCGAGGUGUCACUUUGUUCUAUUUUUAAACUAAGGAUUCUAGCUUUAGGACCACUGUUUCUAUGGAAUGAAUAGAACCAUUGCAACACUCACAAAAUGAGUCAUAAUGUCACAUCCAUGUUGCAUAGUAACAGAUUCCAUGGGUGGAAGUGUGAGUAAAAAAAGAAAUAGAAAAUCACCAUCAACCUUUAAAAUCUGGCUUAGACAGUCUGGACUGACUUGGACUGAGCCUAAGGCCAUGUCAUCCUUUUAACAUCUGCUCAGUUACUCGUCAGAACUCAAAAUGACCUGUUCGCCAGGUUGUUAUGACAUAGUUGCUUGGGAUAAGGAAUGCAUUAAAUAGAAAAGCUAAAUUAGCUUGCAGGUAAUGUUAGCUAUUAUACAUGUUGUUUGUUUUCCUGCUAUUGAAGCUCAUCACAAUAUUAUUUGACUAUCUAAUGAGAAGAAGUUAGAGCAACUACACCAUCAUAUUUAAAAAGUAUAACAAUAGAGUAGACAGAAAGUGAUACAUUGUUACUUUUGGCUAUGUUGUGGUGGAUGAGCUAAACAAUGGAACAUGGCCUGUGUCUGUCGAUUGCCACCAACAACAACAAGCAAAACUCUAUGCAAGUGCCCACUACCAGUUACCAACACCAACAACAAGCAACACUGUCAUCACCAGUGCCUACUGCCAGUCCAAUGAAAAGGGAUUUCAACUCUACAGUCUGACCUUCAACCCCCACUGAGCCAAAGUACAGUCCACUCAGUCCAACUGGGACAACAGCUGGUUCAGAACCAAAGGAGAGAGUCAAAUCUCCCCAAACAUGACAGCAGAGAAAAUAAAUAAAGAGGUCAAAUCGAACUCAACCUAAAAAAUGGAAUCACCAAGGAAAUGUGUGGGGUAAAGAUCCCGAAUCUCCUAAUUUACCCCCGGCACAAUUAGCUAUUGUUUAUUUCACACUAUGUUGAAGUAAAAAUCAGUGUAUAACACGUCAACCCCAACUCAUCUUCAUGUCAUCUUAACCAAUCAACUGCAUUACUGUUAAAUACUUUUACUAUGAAGCGAAAACCGCCAAAUAUUUCCAAAUCGGACUUAAGUAACAACAUUGUGGGCCUGUUACAAUACAUAAAUCAUAAGUCACUGUCCCUAGCCGACUACCACCCGGUUACUCCACCAUGCACCUUAGAGGCUGCUGCCCUAUGUACAUAGUCAUGGAAAACUGGUCACGUUAAUCAUGUUUACAUACUGUUUAUUUGCAUUCAUUUUUUAUUGAAUAUUUAAAAUAUACAAUAUACUUGCAGUGAAGCAUCACAUUUAGUCAUCUAACAGCCUACCAUCCGGAGUGACACACAGACACAACCAGGGUUUACAUACUGUUUAACCCCCUUCAUAUGUACAGUGUAUACUGUAUUCUAGUCAAAACCUAUCCAAUUGAACUAUUGCUGUACAUACUGCACAUUCGGAAAGUAUUCAGACCUCUUGACUUUUUCCACAUUUUGUUACGUUACAGCCUUAUUCUAAAAUGGAUUAAAUUGUUUUUUCCCCUCAUCAAUCUACAAACAAUACCCCAUAAUGACAGACCAAAAACAGGUUUAGACAAAACUGAAAUAUCUCAUUUAAAUAAGUAUUCAGACCCUUCACAUAAUUUUGCACGCCCAAUUUUUCAGUUUUUGAUUUGUUAAAAAAGUUUGAAAUAUCCAAUAAAUGUCGUUCCACUUCAUGAUUGUGUCCCACUUGUUGUUGAUUCUUCACAAAAAAAUACAGUUUUAUAUAUUUAUGUUUGAAGCCUGAAAUGUGGCAAAAGGUCGCAAAGUUCAAGGGGGCCGAAUACUUUCGCAAGGCACUGUAUUUGUGGAGUUUCUCCCAUUCUUCUCUACAGAUCCUCUCAUGAUCUGUCAGGCUUGAUGGGGAGCGUCGCUGCACAGCUAUUUUCAGGUCUCUCCGAAGAUGUUCGAUUGGGUUCAAGUCCGGGCUCUGUUUGGACCACUCAAGGACAUUAAGAGACUUGUCCUAAAGCCACUCCUGCG